rnacentral:rRNA from 1 species
AUUGAACGCUGGCGGCAGGCCUAACACAUGCAAGUCGAGCGGAUGAAGGGAGCUUGCUCCUGGAUUCAGCUGCGGACGGGCGAGUAAUGCCUAUGAAUCUGCCUGGUAGUGUUGGAUAACGUCCCAAAACGGGCGCUAAUACCGCAUACGUCCUGAGGGAGAACGUGGGGGAUCUUCGAACCUCACGCUAUCAGAUGAGCCUAGGUCGGAUUAGCUAGUCGGUGGGGUAAAGGCCUACCAAGACGACGAUCCGUAACUGGUCUGAGAGGAUGCGCAGUCACACUGGCACUGACACACCGUCCCGACUUCUACGCGAGGCAGCAGUCGCGAAUUUUCGACAACAGGCGGAAGCCUUCUCCAGCCAUGCCGCGUGUUUCAAGAAGGUCUUCGGAGUGUAAUGUCCUUUGUCUUGGGCGGACGGCCAGUAAAUUCAUACCUUGCUGCUUUGGCGUUCCCAACAGAAUAAGCCCCGGCUACCUCCGUG